rnacentral:rRNA from 1 species
GACGGAGGGUGCUAGCGUUGUUCGGAAUCACUGGGCGUAAAGCGCGCGUAGGCGGUCAGGUAAGUCCGGUGUGAAAGUCAAAGGCUCAACCUUUGAAUGCCGCUGGAUACUGCUUGACUUGAGUCCGGAAGGGGCGAGUGGAAUUCCUGGUGUAGCGGUGAAAUGCGCAGAUAUCAGGAGGAACACCGGUGGCGAAGGCGGGUCUCUGGGCAGUAACUGACGCUGAGGAGCGAAAGCGUGGGGAGCGAACAGG